rnacentral:misc_RNA from 1 species
GAUGAAGAACGCAGCGAAAUGCGAUACGUAAUGUGAAUUGCAGAAUUCAGUGAAUCAUCGAGUCUUUGAACGCACAUUGCGCCCCCUGGUAUUCCGGGGGGCAUGCCUGUCCGAGCGUCAUUGCUGCCCUCAAGCACGGCUUGUGUGUUGGGCCUCCGUCCUCCUCCCGGGGGACGGGCCCGAAAGGCAGCGGCGGCACCGCGUCCGGUCCUCGAGCGUAUGGGGCUUCGUCACCCGCUCUUGUAGGCCCGGCCGGCUCUUGCCGACACAUCAAUCUUUUUUCCAGGUUGACCUCGGAUCAGGUAGGGAUACCCGCUGAACUUAAGCAUAUCAAUAAGCGGAGGA